ensembl:antisense 4930480G23Rik RIKEN cDNA 4930480G23 gene
CCAGAGGCACCAGAUCCCCUGGAACUGUGGUUACUGGCAGUUAUGAGCUGCUUCAUGUGGCUACUGGGAACUAAAUGUGGACCCUCUGCAAGAGCAGCAUGCGCUCUUAGCAUCCCUGGAACUCAUGAUUUUCAUACAACUGGCACAGCAAAUCGGGAAUAUCUCAUCAGGUGCCAGAAUGGAAUUAUCACUAAUAUGUCAAGCAUCUGAGCAUCUAUGUGUACCUACCACCUAAUCAAAGAAGACCCUCUUUAAAGCAAAUGAAAACCAUCAUAGAAAACUACAACUGAACAUAAUGCAAAAAUCAACAGAUCAUGAGGAAGCAAGCCCCAGUGAAUAUAUCUACACCACAGUUCCUUAAUCUGUGGCUCACGGAACAUUGCAGAAGAGUAGACUGGACUGGAAAAGAUUGUAAGAGCCAGAGUAUCACAAGUCUUGUACAAAACAGUCUCUUCUAGAAACGGCUUCAGAAACAAGACUGGAGCAAUAACAAUGGUAACGGAUGAGUUCACAUAGAAGAAGGGAAAUUUCACAGGAAAUUUCAUACCUAAACAAGGAACUACAAGCAACUAUUGACAGCUGAGAGAAAAAUUUAGCCUCUCCCAUGGAUUAAGCCUCUUACUGAUUGUCUAAUGCAGAGAGAUGAUAAACUCUUCUUCCAUGAAGUCUUCAUAUCAGUACAAUCAUUUAACCCAAGUAAACUGGAAGGUUGAAUAUAUAACCCAAAAGGUCAUGGGGAAGAAGGAUAGGAGCUGAUGAUGUCCAUCAGUUUAUCAACAAACCAAAUAUCAAAAUAAGGUAAGUUUACUUGUUGCAAUGACAACUUGGAAGUCAGGAUUGAUGAAGCGCAAUUCCUUUGUGGACUGCUUUAACAAAUGAUUCAUCUUGAUGCUCCACAGAACAACAGUGACUUGGAAAUUAUCCAUAAGGAUGGCAGAAUUAAAGGGUGACCCAAAAGUAGGGGCAUCUGGGUAUGAAGACAUUAGAAAGGCAUUAAGUAAAAGUGACUCUAAAUUGC